CCGCACCCGUCUUUCUCCUCCAGCGAAUCGAGCGGGCAGCGAGCGACAGUGAAAGAAACGCUCCCAGCCCUAGCCCACCCCGCGACCCUCGUUCCUCAUGCGCCGCCCCCGACGCCCCCCGCCCGCGAUGGAGAAAUUGAGAGGAAAGAGGAGAGGAAGGUGAGGCAGCAGGCAUGAGAGGGUCAUCGGCUGCUGUCGGCCAGCGCCGGCGAGGUCGGGCACGACCUGGCGGUUGGUGGCGGCUCGAUCCGCUCCUGGAUCGGGAGAGGAGGAAGGGAGGUGGGGGGCCGGCCGUCUCUGUGCCUCCUCGCCGCCGAGCUGCGGCUGCCCCGUGCGCUCUCUCUCUCUCUCGAUCUCGAUCUGAGAGGAAACGAGGUAGCCACAGCCUCCUGCACCCCCUUCUCUCUCGCCGCUGCUGCUCCCCAACCACCGUGCUGUGAUGUUGCUUCCCCAAUUGGUCGCUGUCUCGUCUCCCCCGACCUCAAUACCGUCCUGGGCGGCGCCGGUACCGAGGCGCCACCUCUGCCUCCACCCCCACUGGGCAAGGAGCUCGAGGUGUUUGGGGGAUUUUUGUCCCUGAUGUUAAUUAGGGUGACUAUUUCUGUUUGGGUAAUCUGGGGGACGAAUUUGAUGCUUGUGUUAAAUUCUCGUUGUAUCAUUUUUUGUGCCCAUUAAAUACAUUUACCAUUUUAUGACUUGAAUUUGCGGCCAGAGAGCGUUGAUUUUACCGAAUACAGGUCAAUUAUUCUUCACUAAUUCAUUUCCUUGUAGUACAGUUGUGUUAGUUAUUUGCUUGCAAGAUAGCAUCUUCCUGAAUGAUUUCUUUGUAUUUUUCAGAUAAGGAGAACUUUAACCUUGCGCCCACCUAUGGCAAUAUUGCCAUCUUUAUAUUCUCCCUCGCUCAUCAGCGGCAGCGAUGGUGGUGUCAUUGUCGGCCUUGCAGCAUGUGGCAUAAUCAUGUCCAUUGCCUACUCUGGGGCAGAUCUGAUGCAAGACUUCAAGUGCGGCUACCUCACCCUCUCUUCACCAUGUGCAGUGUUCAUCUCGCAGGUUCCAAGUUGGUUAAUGUUGAUUUUUGCUCAUGCACAACCCAUCAUAGGAAUUAGUAGGAUCAUCUUCGAUGGAUGUAAGGACUGCAACAGGUUUCUUUCAGCAGCCUGGGGUUGUUAAGAACAGGGUCGGGAUUGCUCUGGGCAGAUGCUUAAGUUCCUGGAUGUAAACGCACACUUGUCUCCUACACAUGCCAAAAUACUAUUGGAGAUAAGGAUACCCGCGCUGCUGCUGUUGCGUUUGGUUAGGGAGGGGCUUCUUCGUCUGCUUUGCCGUGUGGUGGCUGUGUGGCUGCUUGUUCCUUCUUUGCUAGGCAGGGAUCGGCUUUGGUGGUGGCAGACGCUGGCAAGUCAUGGGGUUAGAGCAUAUGAAGCUGACAUGGCGUUUGAAACUUACGUGGUCAUUGAAGGGCUUCGCAAUAGUGCUUACAGAGUCUGGGAAAGAAAAUAUGGAGGAAUAAGCUACGAUAAUUUUGGUGAAGAACUUUCUUUCCCUAUGUUGUGAAGAGUUUGGUCCUCUGAUAGAUUUGUGUUCUUAGAAAAUGCGAGGAUGAUGACAAUGAUUGUGCUACUUCUAUCUUCUUCAGCUCCUCAUGCUUCCCAAGGUCGCAGGUGUUAGUGGAGAUUGAAGUUCGAAGGAGGCUGCUCGCGAGACGACUGGGCUUCCUUCAAUAGUGGUGCUAACAUUUUGAAUAAUAAACCGGGAGCUGACAAGCGGUCUGAAUUUCUGCUAGGUAUGCUUCUCCAUCCCCCUACCUUCUCAGUUCCCCCAUUUCUGUUGGGUCUGAAUUUCCGGUUGAUUAGGAAAUAUGAACAUCGUACCAUCUGAAUUUACCUAUUUUAUUACCAUGUUCCUUAUAUAUUCAGUUGUGUCAUAGAUAAUUCACCCCCUCGACUUCUAUACAAUUUUUUGUCUAUUCUGCACCAUACAACAACAGCCCAACAAGAAAUACAUGUACACGUAUUUUGCCGACUCAGUUGCUGUGGUAUGGUACUUAUGUCAUGCAAACAAAUAACCUGCUUAAUUUACUUUAGUGAUUUAAAUUUACAAAAUUAGGGUAAUAGUGAUCUGAAUGUACAAACUAGGAUAUCUGUGACCUAUUUGAUACACUCAAACAGUUUUCGAAAACUGAUAAUGUUAUUUACUUACAUGUGAAUGUUUACUCAUAAAUCUAGAAGUGGUUGGCAAGGUAAAUGAGGGUAAAACUGAGAAUAUGUCAACAAUGCCAACAUGCACAUGCUUCAUGUUUGAAUAAAUGUUAAAAAUAUACUCCCUCUGUUCCUACAUAUAAGACCUUUUAGAGAUGCAGAGGCCGGGGGUCCCCCUCCUUUUCUAAAAAAAAAGACUACAUACAGAGCAAAAUGAGUGAAUCUACACUCUAAAGUAUGUCUAUAUACAUCCGUAUGUAGUCCAUAGUGGAAUCUCUAAAAGAUCGUAUAUUUAGGUAUUCUGAAAUAGAGUGACUGAAGGAGUGUCAAACUAUAUACAUGAGGAUGCAUAUCUUAAGAGUUUAUUAUGUUAAUAAAUACUAAUUUACUUGCCAGUGGAUUACUUUGGUUAGUUUUCACAAGUUUUCAAAUUGUAGGAUUUUUUUACCUUACCGCUUUGUAGCCCCUGUAGAGGAAUGUAUGUAGUGGAUCAUGCACUACUGGAAGUUGAUCGUUGGGUGAAGGAAGAUGGAUGGUCUUACCGCUCUGUUCUUCUUGCUAAGUGGAUUACGACUUCCUUGCUCCCCUUUAUGGACAAGCAUUCUCAUCUGCUGGUCACUUGCCUAAGAUACAAUAUGCUAAUGCUAUCUUGGUUCUGUUUCGUUUGCUCUUGCAGAAAAUAAGUGAAAUGUGCAGACCGACCACAUGGGCGGCCGGUCUUGCAACUCCCAGUGCUCUCAACCCCCCACUAACCCUCUCUCAUUUUGAUCUAGCCGACUAAGAUUUAUUAAGUACUGCAACCAAAUCAUAAUUUGGACACCAAAACCUGAAUGAUAAGUAACAUGUAGAUAUACCAUGUGCUGCAGAUGUCAAUCGUGGAUGCGGAAAAUACCUCGGGAGUAGAGUCAAUUAGAACUGUGGAUUGAUGUAUUUAUUCCUUUGUAUUAUUAAAAACAACCUUUAUAUAUAAGCACAAUGACUUCCACCAUGGCUUUGACAGGGACAGUCAAGUGUUCUGAUUUAUUGCUGCUAUAUUCAAAUUUAUCGGAUGCCCACUAAAGAGUUGCAUGUGCAAGCAAUUCUUGCUGUUCCAUGCAGAAUAGUUUGGUUCAUAAAUGCAAACUGAUUAACCAUAUGAUUGCAUUGGCUGUGUAUUAGGAUUCGUUCUGCCUUCUUCUUUUUUAUAUUGUCCUCUAUUUGUUGUGCCUAAUCUUUAUGUCCUCAUUGUUUUUGUUACAUUUUAUAACUCUAGGAUCUACUCGGCACGAACGAAAUUACUAACAUGCCUCUUCUUUUUACUAAUGAUUGAAACUCAGGAUAAACACUACUGGCAAGGGGGCUUGCUGAUGUAAACACCCUUCUCCUUUACUGGUUUAUCUUAGAAGGCAAGCAUGAUGUUUUUCCUAGUUGAUUCCCUACUCCAGUUAAUCAUUCAAUGUUCUUUUUGCCCUUCUUUGAAUAUCAAUAGGAACUCCUCAGGAAUUCAAAGCUAAGAAUUGCCAACUAACUUUUGUGUUCAGCGCAGAGAAGAUCAUCCUUCCUUUAUUUUUCUUUUAACUUUUGUUGUCUGCACACUACAAAACACAUCCAUAAAUUUCAUAGAAUGCCCCUUUCGGUUUCUAUACCGUUCAUCUUUUUUAUUUCAAUCUUCAUGCAUCCAGAUGCUAUCUUGCCCAGGGUUUCAACAAAAUUACUUUCUGCUCUAGAUUUUGUCUAGGCUCAGAACAAAAAUAUUACUCUAUAAAAUGAGCAUGGAAUGACAAAACUCAUGUUCACUCUUGAAAACUAUUUCACAGUGCUUUAUAUAAACAUUUUGGUUUUUUUAUUCCCUACUUUUAAAAGUGUUUUUUGUUCAAAUCAAUUAUUACCUUUUUUGUGAGGGGUUCAAAGAAAAAAAAUUGACAAACCAAUUAUUAUUACUUAAAAGGAUAAGAGCAUCCGUUUGUCUUUUGGGCCAACGGCCCUCUCUUCUGGCCUGCCGCAUCCACUCUGUCCACCGAAUCUUAUCAUGUCUGCUUCCCUGAGCUCAUCUUCUUCUCCUCUCUCUGCCUCCAAGUCCUCUCUGACUGCGCUGUUUCGCUAGAUCCCCGGAGAGCAAGAAGAGCACCACCAUCUGCUCCAACCCGCCGACUGGUAGAUCCGUUUUGGUUCUUAACAGAAUCAACGAGAGACCCCUCCGAGCACAAGGCUAAUUACCAAGCCCUCUGGGUUUCUGUUUUGGACCCAUUCUCAUGGAGUUGGUAGAUCUGUCCACCACAUCGCUAGCUGAGGCAAUGUUUGAGAAGCUCGGGCUACCUAAACCAGUCUAUUAUGUGCACCAACUUGAGCAGGGUCGAUAUAGAUCAGAGGUUGAAUUUCAUUGUACAAAAGAGCGCUUCCACGCUUCAGCACGUUGGACUAAACUGUCAAGUUGUAUAUGUGAGCAUGGGGAAGCAUCAUUGAAUCAUGCAGCCGAUAAGGUCAUCGGAUACAUGGAAACCAGAGAGAGGAAUGUUGUUGUUAACUACUAUCAGCUGCAGGAGCAGAAAAACAGCCACCUUUUGUUUCAUAUCGAUCAAACCAGUAUCUUUCCCAUUUUGGGGUACUCGAGCAAGAUAUGUAUAGUCUUUGGUCUUCUAUUGCUACCUGUAUGGUUAAAAGUAGUGUAUGGUGCACUGUAUAAACUUUAGAUUUCGCUUUUUCCUCA